AGCCGGCACCACAACACGUAUUCCCAAUGCCCAGGAUGGCCUCGGAAGGGGUUUCUAUCAGGAAACAGGCUACUGGCUAGCAAUACUGGCAUUUCUGCUUUGUUUGGAGCUUGUCUUUGUGUUGUGCUUGUUUGGAAUCCGGUAUUUGGAAUCGGGAAGAGAAAACAAUGCUCCUGUGCAUCGUCAGCAGAUGAGCCUAAGAACACAGGCAGCGGGAGGUUGACAGUUUAUCCCAGCUCUCCACUUCUGCCCCUAUCUGCCCUGCCAUGGCUGCAGCAGCGUCAGGAGGCCGUCCCAAAACCCACCCCUCCACAACAAGACCCUCUGCCCCUCAGCCUCCUGGUCCUGUUCCCCGGCCAGGAAUGAAGGUGGGCAUCCCCUGUCUGCCAGGGCAGGGCUUGGCCCAUAUUUCAUAUUCAAAUAAAAGAAUAAAGUUUUCACAA